UAAUGCUUGGGAAUCUAGCUUAUGGAGGGGGAUAACUACGGGAAACUGUAGCUAAUACCGCGUGGUAUCGGAAGAUGAAAGUGUGGGACCUUCGGGCCACAUGCCAUAGGAUGAGCCCAAGUGGGAUUAGGUAGUUGGUGAGGUAAAGGCUCACCAAGCCGACGAUCUCUAGCUGGUCUGAGAGGAUGACCAGCCACACUGGGACUGAGACACGGCCCAG
rnacentral:rRNA from 1 species